rnacentral:sRNA from 1 species
GUGUUGCUUUACGGUCUCAAGGUGGCUCUUAACUCUCAGGGAGGCUGAGAAAGCAGGCAUUUUGUUUUACUGGCCUCUCUAUUGGAGACGGCUGGGGUAUGGCCGUCAAUGUGUACUCCACAUCUGUGACCAGUGAAAAUCUGAGUCGCCAUGAUAUGCUUGCAUGGGUCAACGACUCCCUGCACCUCAACUAUACCAAGAUAGAACAGCUUUGUUCAGGGGCAGCCUACUGCCAGUUCAUGGACAUGCUCUUCCCCGGCUGUGUGCACUUGAGGAAAGUGAAGUUCCAGGCCAAACUAGAGCAUGAAUACAUCCACAACUUCAAGGUGCUGCAAGCAGCUUUCAAGAAGAUGGGUGUUGACAAAGUAGGUGCCUGCGCUCCGGGGGGCCCUGAGGAGCAGUGUGACCCUGGGGAAGAAGAGGACCCACCAGCCCAGGCAACUGGGGCUGCUGGGGUCAUUCCGGUGCUCGUGCCUCCCUCCACCUCCCGACUCUCCAGAGGGAAUUCUCCCCCUGCUCAAGGCACAAUGGAAAAGCCCACAACACUUGCCAUGCCAUCAUGACAACAUUCCUUUCCCUUCCUCCUCUCUGGACCCUGCCCACCCCAACACUGAGCUCUGUGCACCGCUCCUGUGAAGUUCCACCUCUCUCUGUCUCUGUAGGGCCCAAGAAAAUGUCUCUGCUCACUCUACUGCCUCGGUGGCUGCAGACCCCCAGCCCACACGCAGGCAGUAGAGCCAAGGGACGCCUCCCCACACAGUUCUUCCACACGGUGCCUGUAGAGAAGGGAUGCCUCUGGAUCUGACACUAGGGCCUACCAGCCUACCUGUCUG